UAGAGUUUGAUCCUGGCUCAGGAUGAACGCUGGCGGCGUGCUUAACACAUGCAAGUCGAACGGGAACCUUUGGAUUCGUCUGAAGGGGAGAGUGGCGAACGGGUGAGUAACACGUGGGUGACCUGCCUCGAAGACGGGGAUAACCACUGGAAACGGUGGCUAAUACCCGAUGGUCUCGAUAAUUCGGUUUAUCGAGUAAAGGCUCCGGCGCUUUGAGAGGGACCUGCGGCCCAUCAGCUAGUUGGUAGGGUAAUGGCCUACCAAGGCAAAGACGGGUAGGGGGCGUGAGAGCGUGACCCCCCACACUGGCACUGGGACACGGGCCAGACUCCUACGGGAGGCAGCAGUGAGGAAUAUUGCGCAAUGAGCGAAAGCUAGACGCAGCAACGCCGCGUGGGUGAUGAAGGCCUUCGGGUCGUAAAACCCUUUUCUGGGGGAAGAGUAAGGACGGUACCCCAGGAAUAAGCCUCGGCUAACUAUGUGCCAGCAGCCGCGGUAAUACAUAGGAGGCAAGCGUUAUCCGGAUUUACUGGGCGUAAAGAGCGUUGAGGCGGCUUCGUAAGUUGGACGUGAAAGCUCCCGGCUUAACUGGGAGAGGCCGUUCAAUACUGCGGGGCUUGAGGACAGCAGAGGGGGGUGGAAUUUCCGGUGUAGUGGUGAAAUGCGUAGAUAUCGGAAGGAACACCAGUGGCGAAGGCGGCCCCCUGGGCUGCUCCUGACGCUGAAGGCGAAAGCUAGGGUAGCGAACGGGAUUAGAAACCCCGGUAGUCCUAGCCGUAAACGAUGGAUACUAGGUGUAGGAGGUUAAAAUUCCUUCUGUGCCGGAGCUAACGCGUUAAGUAUCCCGCCUGGGGAGUACGGUCGCAAGGCUAAAACUCAAAGGAAUUGACGGG
rnacentral:rRNA from 1 species